UGGGGAUAUGGCUCAAUUGGCAGAGUGUUCAUCUCCCAUGCACAAGGCCCUGGGUUCAAUCCCCAGCACACAA
rnacentral:tRNA from 1 species